GUCUGCACUGGAUCCUCACAGAACCACAAUCUGAGUGAAAGUGACACCACAUGACUUCUGAGACUUGGCCCUAAAAGGUGACACAGCUUCCAACUGGCUGACCUGGGACAGUCACUUUCGGAAUCCAGCCACCAUGUGGGAGGCAGCCUGGGUCACGUGGAGAGGCCACAAGUAAGUAUUUGCCAUCUGAGGUCCCUGCUAUAGCCAGAAGCAACCAUGUGAGAAUCUGAGUGAGAAGCACCCACACUGAGCCCAUUAACCACAGACUGCACAAGAGAAAUCGAAAUGAUUUUCUUUUUUUUUUUUUUAAAGAGAGGAAUUUCUCUAUGUUGCUCAGGCUGAUCUUUAACUUCUGGGCUCAGGCAGUCCUCC
rnacentral:lncRNA from 1 species